CAAUAGCGUAUAUUAAAGUUGUUGCAGUUAAAAGCUCGUAGUUGAAUUUCUGGUCAAUCGUAGUCUUGGCUUCGGUCGGGCUAUGGUUGAUCAUCCGUUUGCAAGCUGCACUCGGCCUUCACUGGUUCGGUGUAGUGAGCUGACAUUUUACUUUGAAAAAUUAGAGUGUUUCAGGCAGGCUUUUGCCCGAAUACAUUAGCAUGGAAUAAUGGAAUUGGACUCUGGUCCAUUUGGUUGGUUAUUGGAUCUGAGUAAUGGUUAAUAGGGACAGUUGGGGGCAUUAGUAUUUAAUUGUCAGAGGUGAAAUUCUUGGAUUUAUUAAAGACUAACUUAUGCGAAAGCAUUUGCCAAGGAUGUUUUCAUUAAUCAAGAACGAAAGUUAGGGGAUAAAAGACGAUUAGAUACC
rnacentral:rRNA from 1 species